rnacentral:rRNA from 1 species
GAUGAACGCUGGCGGCGUGCCUAAUACAUGCAAGUCGAGCGAACAGACGAGGAGCUUGCUCCUCUGACGUUAGCGGCGGACGGGUGAGUAACACGUGGAUAACCUACCUAUAAGACUGGGAUAACUUCGGGAAACCGGAGCUAAUACCGGAUAAUAUAUUGAACCGCAUGGUUCAAUAGUGAAAGACGGUUUUGCUGUCACUUAUAGAUGGAUCCUCGCCGCAUUAGCUAGUUGGUAAGGUAACGGCUUACCAAGGCAACGAUGCGUAGCCGACCUGAGAGGGUGAUCGGCCACACUGGAACUGAGACACGGUCCAGACUCCUACGGGAGGCAGCAGUAGGGGAUCUUCCGCAAUGGGCGAAAGCCUGACGGAGCAACGCCGCGUGAGUGAUGAAGGUCUUCGGAUCGUAAAACUCUGUUAUUAGGGAAGAACAAAUGUGUAAGUAACUAUGCACGUCUUGACGGUACCUAAUCAGAAAGCCACGGCUAACUACGUG